GCAGGGUUCGGGGUUCGGGGGCGGGGUGUUCACGGUGAGACCAAAAGUCAGGCCCGCAGCCGUGCCGGGUGCUCUCCAGCAUGUCCUUCAUCCCGGUGGCCGAGGAUUCCGACUUCCCCAUCCACAACCUGCCCUACGGCGUCUUCUCGACCAGAGGCGACCCAAGACCGAGGAUAGGUGUGGCCAUUGGCGACCAGAUCCUGGACCUCAGCAUCAUCAAGCACCUCUUUACUGGUCCUGUCCUCUCCAAACACCAGGAUGUCUUCAAUCAGCCUACACUCAACAGCUUCAUGGGCCUGGGUCAGGCUGCCUGGAAGGAGGCAAGAGUGUUCCUGCAGAACUUGCUGUCUGUGAGCCAAGCCAGGCUCAGAGAUGACACCGAACUUCGGAAGUGUGCAUUCAUCUCCCAGGCUUCUGCCACGAUGCACCUUCCAGCCGCCAUAGGUGAGUGCAGUCUCUUCACCAAGACAAGAACGGAGCAGCUUCGUGGGCCAAGAGGGCUGGCCAGGAGACUACACAGACUUCUAUUCCUCUCGGCAGCAUGCUACCAACGUCGGAAUCAUGUUCAGGGACAAGGAGAAUGCAUUGAUGCCAAAUUGGUAUGAACUGGGCCAAAUGUUUGCAUAAGUUCAAAGUCUUUCAUUUCCAGCAGCAUGUUUGUCUCAGGAGCUGCCAAGUUCUUCUUAAAGUAAACUGGGGAGGAAAAGCAGUUAUGAUGUUGUUGCAACCUCUGGAGGCAGUGGU
rnacentral:sRNA from 1 species